rnacentral:rRNA from 1 species
AACGCUAGCUACAGGCUUAACACAUGCAAGUCGAGGGGCAGCAUAAAAGUAGCAAUACUUUGGUGGCGACCGGCGCACGGGUGAGUAACGCGUAUGCAACCUACCUAUCAGAGGGGGAUAACCCGGCGAAAGUCGGACUAAUACCGCAUAAAACAGGGGCACCGCAUGGUGAUAUUUGUUAAAGAUUAAUUGCUGAUGGAUGGGCAUGCGUUCCAUUAGGUAGUUGGAGAGGUAACGGCUCACCAAGCCUACGAUGGAUAGGGGAACUGAGAGGUUGGUCCCCCACACUGGUACUGAGACACGGACCAGACUCCUACGGGAGGCAGCAGUGAGGAAUAUUGGUCAAUGGGCGAGAGCCUGAACCAGCCAAGUCGCGUGAAGGAAGAAGGAUCUAUGGUUCGUAAACUUCUUUUGCAGGGGAAUAAAGUGCAGGACGUGUCCUGUUUUGUAUGUACCCUGAGAAUAAGGAUCGGCUAACUCCGUGCCAGCAGCCGCGGUAAUACGGAGGAUCCGAGCGUUAUCCGGAUUUAUUGGGUUUAAAGGGUGCGUAGGUGGUUUAAUAAGUCAGCGGUGAAAGUUUGCAGCUUAACUGUAAAAAUGCCGUUGAAACUGUUAGACUUGAGUGUAAAUGAGGUAGGCGGAAUGCGUGGUGUAGCGGUGAAAUGCUUAGAUAUCACGAAGAACUCCGAUUG